CCUACGGGAGGCAGCAGUAGGGAAUCUUCCACAAUGGGCGAAAGCCUGAUGGAGCAACGCCGCGUGGGUGAAGAAGGUCUUCGGAUCGUAAAACCCUGUUGUUAGAGAAGAAAGUGCGUGAGAGUAACUGUUCACGUUUCGACGGUAUCUAACCAGAAAGCCACGGCUAACUACGUGCCAGCAGCCGCGGUAAUACGGAGGUGGCAAGCGUUAUCCGGAUUUAUUGGGAGUAAAGGGAACGCAGGCGGUCUUUUAAGUCUGAUGUGAAAGCCUUCGGCUUAACCGGAGUAGUGCAUUGGAAACUGGGAGACUUGAGUGCAGAAGAGGAGAGUGGAACUCCAGGUGUAGCGGUGGAAUGCGUAGAUAUAGGGAAGAACACCAGUGGCGAAGGCGGCUCUCUGGGCUGUAACUGACGCUGAGGUUCGAAAGCGUGGGUAGCGAACAGGAUUAGAUACCCGUGUAGUC
rnacentral:rRNA from 1 species